UUACAAGAUGCUUUGGUGCCUUCGGGAACUCUGAGACAGGUGCUGCAUGGCUGUCGUCAGCUCGUGUUGUGAAAUGUUGGGUUAAGUCCCGCAACGAGCGCAACCCUUAUCCUUUGUUGCCAGCGGUUCAGGCCGGGAACUCAAAGGAGACUGCCAGUGAUAAACUGGAGGAAGGUGGGGAUGACGUCAAGUCAUCAUGGCCCUUACGAGUAGGGCUACACACGUGCUACAAUGGCAUAUACAAAGAGAAGCGACCUCGCGAGAGCAAGCGGACCUCAUAAAGUAUGUCGUAUCCGGAUUGGAGUCUGCAACUCGACUCCAUGAAGUCGGAAUCGCUAGUAAUCGUGGAUCAAAUGCCACGGUGAAUACGUUCCCGGGUCUUGUACACACCCGGA
rnacentral:rRNA from 1 species